UGACUGGGGUGUCCCGGGCCAGGCCUGAAUUCACAGGCACCUCCAAGCGGGCAGCCCGGGGUAAGUUCAUGUCCAAACAGAACGGCGUCUGCCCUGCUUGAGCCACCGACCCUCGGAAAGGACAUGAUGCCUGUAAGUGGCGCGGCGCCUGCUCCCUGCUGAGUAAAUGGCAGCCGGAAUCAUAGAUCCUCCAGUGUUCUCCUCUGUCAUAUUACCAAAGCGUCUUAAGGACAUCAGCGGUCAACAGGUUUUGUUUGUAAUUUUAAUUAAAUGAAUGAAUGAACCCGCAUCGGAUUCCGUUAGUGUGGUUUUGCUGUUCAGCAGCACCAAAAAGACAAAAAUCACGAGAACCCCGGAUGGAACCCAGAGACUCUAAACCUAUCCAUCGCUCUAUUUCAUUCACAUCUUCAAAAGAAACAGCAUUUUCUUUUACUAAUUUUCCUACUUUUUUCUAUUUUAAUUUCAAAUUUCUUAAGUCCGUUUUCCUUCAUCCUAUCGUUACUUUAACAGUUUCUUGAAUUAACUACAUAGUUCAUUUAUUUUCAGUCUUCUGCGGUAAUAGUCAAAAUGUUAAUGGCUAUAAAUUUUCCUCUGACUGUAGGUUUAGCUGUGUUUAUUAGGGUCUUAUGGGUCUUGCUAUGUUGCCCGGGCUGGAGUGCAUUGGCUAUUCACAGGCACGAUCCCACUGCUAAUCAGUAUGGGACCUUUGACCUGCUGUUUCCAUCCUGGGCUGGUUCACCCCUCCUUAGGCAACCUGGUGGUCUUCCACUCCAGGGAGGUCACCAUACUGACGUCCAACUUAGUGCAGACACCGGAUGGUCAUAGCAGCACUACAGCCCAGAACUCCUAGGCUCCAGCAAUGCCUCCAGCCUGGGCAUCCAGAGUAGCGGGGAGGCUCGCGCCACCACACAGGCCAUUAGGAUUUUAUAUGGAGUAUUCUCUCUUAAAAUGUUCCAGAUUUUCUGUAAUUUCAGUUUUUGCCAUUUUCUAUAUUGGAGUUAUAGUUUACAUACAGCAAAGUGCACAUAUCUUAAAUUUACAGCUUAUAUAACCACCACCAAUUCAGAUGUAGAACAUUUCCAGCAACCAGAGUUUCUCUCAGCCCAAAGAAAAUAGGUGGCCACUGCUCUUUUAUCACCCUAGGUUAGUUUUGCCUGUUCUUGAAUGUCAUGUAAAAACAGCAAGUACUCUGUUAUGUCCACAUCUAUCACUGGACAUGUUUUUGAGAAUCACCCACGUUACGUGCAUCCAUUUUUUCUUGCUGUGUAAUAUUUGAUUUAUGAAUAUAUCAAAGUUUAUUCUCCUGUUGAUGGAUAUUUCAGUUGUUUCCAAUUUGUGGCAAUUUUGAAUAAAGCGCUAUUUACAUUAA